rnacentral:siRNA from 1 species
UUGGAACUUACUUACAAUGGC